rnacentral:rRNA from 1 species
UACGUAGGGUGCAAGCGUUGUCCGGAAUUAUUGGGCGUAAAGAGCUCGUAGGCGGUCUGUCGCGUCGGCUGUGAAAACUCGGGGCUCAACCCCGAGCCUGCAGUCGAUACGGGCAGACUAGAGUGCGGUAGGGGAGACUGGAAUUCCUGGUGUAGCGGUGAAAUGCGCAGAUAUCAGGAGGAACACCGGUGGCGAAGGCGGGUCUCUGGGCCGGAACUGACGCUGAGGAGCGAAAGCGUGGGGAGCGAACAGG